rnacentral:rRNA from 1 species
GUGUCAGCCGCCGCGGUAACACGUAGGUGGCGAGCGUUGUCCGGAAUUACUGGGUGUAAAGGGCGUGUAGGCGGGGGUGCAAGUCAGGUGUGAAAACCCGAGGCUCAACUUUGGGAUUGCAUCUGAAACUGUACUUCUUGAGUACUGGAGAGGGAAGCGGAAUUCCUAGUGUAGCGGUGAAAUGCGUAGAGAUUAGGAGGAACACCAGUGGCGAAGGCGGCUUCCUGGACAGAGACUGACGCUGAGGCGCGAAAGCGUGGGGAGCGAACAGGAUUAGAUACCCUGGUAGUCCACGCCGUAAACGAUGGAUACUAGGUGUAGGAGGUAUCGACUCCUUCUGUGCCGGAGUUAACACAAUAAGUAUCCCACCUGGGGAGUACGGCCGCAAGGUUGAAACUCAAAGAAAUUGACGG